UAAUGAUUCUGAAUGCCGGGACCAUGGAGGCCUAGGGUAUGGGAGUACUUUGUGUCGUAUUAGGGUAUAGGACAAAUUACUGGUAAUAACUCAUGGAUAGCCUGUUGAUUGUGUUGAAAUGGAAGAUUUACGUGUAACUUGGAGGAAAAUUGGGUCACGUAACAUGAUAAGCAAGGUGUUAUGCUUUACAUACCUGAUUUACUUACAUUUUCAGAAACCUUAUGGAGUUCAAGUGUUACGAGUUAGCAACUCUAGAGAUAGCAUUUGACCCUAUUGUACCAGGGUCUGCUUUGUCAUAUUCUGCUAAUUUGUCUCAUCAGUAUGCUUAUUAUUUUUUCCAAGGGAAAUAACAUUGUCGAUUUGAACUAG
rnacentral:misc_RNA from 1 species